GAUAAACAGCUUCAGUGAAGUAGCUGGAUAUAAAAUUAACUCAAGGGCUGGAGAGAUGGCUCAGCCGUUAAAGGCUAGGCUCACAACCAAAAAUA
rnacentral:miRNA from 1 species